rnacentral:misc_RNA from 1 species
UCAUUCUCGCCACAGACGGCGUACACUAAUGAUUUAAAUUCCGUCGGUUGAGUCCAUAUAUCGUAGUCGUUACACAUUCGAUAAUCUUCAAAUCGGUUUUAAAUUACUUUUGUAUUGUUUAGUUUUGGUAUAACAACUUUUUAAUAUUAAAAAAUAAAUAAACUUGUGUAAAUUUGAAAUGUUUUACCCAUCGCUUCGAUUGUUGAUCGUGUUAAUUGUUGCGAUCACGCGGGUUCAAAUCAACGGCCAAACCAGUAAUACCCAAGUGAAACCUGAGUUGUGGGUCUCCGAUUUGUUUUAUCGCGCGUUGGCUAAUUUCACCGUGAGAAAUGUCGGGAGCACCGCUUGUCAAGAGCAAUCCGAGAUGUAUGACCGCAAUUUAAGAAAUUACACACACUGGGCUAUAAAAAUGGCAGAAUCUUGGAAUCGACAUCCAGUCGGUUUUUUGUCUGGGAAUACAUUUCACAUGGGACUUUAUGAUGAGUGUAUUGAUAUACGUUAUCCAGUUAAAGGCCAGUAUUGCUUAACUGAAACAAAACUAUUACUGUCUGCGGAAAACACCAUUAGUCACAACGAAGUACACAAUAGGAAUAACAUUGGAAGUUAUUAUGCAUGGCAGACCUUACUUGGGUGGAUCGAUUAUCCAGAUCAAAUUCCACGAAAUAUUUUGAAUUUAGGAAUUUGCAUCCCGGAUUCUUGUUCAUCGUCAGAUUUACAAAAAACAUUGCAAAAUGAAUUGGAUAAAGUAUUCUUACCAGAAAAAAUCAAAGCUGUUGUUAAAGUAGAUCCAAUUUUAUGUACUGUCAAAGAAGAUAAAUAUCCUUACAGUAUAGCAUAUCAUAUAACCAGUGCAAUUUUCGUAGUACUUAUUUUUCUUUGCUGUGUUAUUACGAUAUAUCAGUACACAAAAAUAUCUUCCCGACAUGAUACAACUAAAAAAAUAAACGAUAACGAUUCAGUUUUAUAUUCAUUUUCAUUUAUUGAAUCUGGCAAAGAUUUGUUUAAGUACGAUAAAAAUAAUGAAUUAAAUCUAAUUAAUGGAUGUAAAGUUCUGACGAUGGUGUUCAUUCUUUUAGGUCAUCGAUUUAUGUAUUUAGCAGGCAAUCCAAUGACUAAUGCUAAAAUAGUUGAAAAUAUUUAUAUUAGUGGACCUGACAUUCUGUUAACCUGCAUGAACUUAGUUGAUCCAUUUUUUUUCAUGAGUGGCUAUCUUAUUUACAUUACAAUCAUACCAGUAUUUCAAAAAUCUGGACCAAUUUGGAUGAAAAUUGUAUCUCCAAUUAUCUAUAGAGUAUUAAGAAUACUACCAGCAUACUGCGCCGUGAUGGCGAUAACUGCUAAUAUCGUGCCGCAUCUUGGAGACGGUCCACUAUGGUCACAAAAUACAUGGAAAGAAGCCGAGAUUUGUAAAAAAUAUUGGUGGACAAACGUACUGUUUAUAAGUAAUUUUAUUGAUUCCAAGUACCAAUGCCUUUUGAUGGGCUGGUAUUUAUCGUGUGAUAUACAAUUUUUCAUCAUUGGAGUAAUUAUUGUUUGUGUUUAUACGAAGAAUGAAAAAUACGGAAAAAGUUUAAUUGGUGUUUUGAUUGGUGUAUCGCUCUCUUUGCCAUUUAUUAUCACGUAUAUGAGGAAAAUUGAUGGAAUACUUAAAGUUGAUUUGCCAUUCUUAAACAAUCCAAGAAGUUCCACUGUAUAUAACCAAACAUACAGAGAAUCUUAUUCACGAGCAAUUCCUUUCGUCUUUGGGUUAGCAAUGGGUUUUAUAGUACAAAAAUUGAAAAAAUCAAAAUUCAAAUUUUCACAAAACAUUUAUAGAAAACCGUCUAUAUUGGAACCAUCCUCGUCUUCUUGGUUUGUAUGUGUAUUCAACUUAUUGGGGCUGAAUUUUAUAAAAACGAAAGACCUUAUUAUCCAAUUGAACAUGCUUUAUAUGCGACUUUAAGUCAUUGUACUUGGACAACAAUUUGUGCAUGGAUUACUAUUUGCCACCUUACAACUGGUUAUGGAUUGCUUUCAAAAAUACUUACAAAUAGAUUAUGUGUGAUUUUGGGAAGACUCUCAUACAGUGUUUUCUUAAUCAAUUUACCUCUUAUG